rnacentral:rRNA from 1 species
UUUUGAGUUUGAUCGUGGCUCAGAUUGCAGGCUGGCGGCAGGCUUAACACAGUGCAAGUCGAGCGGUAGCACGGGGGAGCUUGCUCCCUGGGUGACGAGCGGCGGACGGGUGAGUAAUGUCUGGGAAACUGCCUGAUGGAGGGGGAUAACUACUGGAAACGGUAGCUAAUACCGCAUAACGUCGCAAGACCAAAGAGGGGGACCUUCGGGCCUCUUGCCAUCAGAUGUGCCCAGAUGGGAUUAGCUAGUAGGUGGGGUAAUGGCUCACCUAGGCGACGAUCCCUAGCUGGUCUGAGAGGAUGACCAGCCACACUGGAACUGAGACACGGUCCAGACUCCUACGGGAGGCAGCAGUGGGGAAUAUUGCACAAUGGGCGCAAGCCUGAUGCAGCCAUGCCGCGUGUGUGAAGAAGGCCUUCGGGUUGUAAAGCACUUUCAGCGAGGAGGAAGGUGGUGAGCUUAAUACGCUCAUCAAUUGACGUUACUCGCAGAAGAAGCACCGGCUAACUCCGUGCCAGCCGCCGCCGUAACACACAA